GUACUACUGAAGAGUCCCAAACUAGGACGAAACAGUUGUCCAUUAC
rnacentral:hammerhead_ribozyme from 1 species